GACGAACGCUGGCGGCGUGCUUAACACAUGCAAGUCGAGCGAUGAAGCUCCUUCGGGAGUGGAUUAGCGGCGGACGGGUGAGUAACACGUGGGUAACCUGCCUCAUAGAGGGGAAUAGCCUUCCGAAAGGAAGAUUAAUACCGCAUAAGAUUGUAAUGCCGCAUGGCAUAGCAAUUAAAGGAGCAAUCCGCUAUGAGAUGGACCCGCGUCGCAUUAGCUAGUUGGUGAGGUAACGGCUCACCAAGGCGACGAUGCGUAGCCGACCUGAGAGGGUGAGCGGCCACGUUGGGACUGAGACACGGCCCAGACUCCUACGGGAGGCAGCAGUGGGGAAUAUUGCACAAUGGGGGAAACCCUGAUGCAGCAACGCCGCGUGAGUGAUGACGGUCUUCGGAUUGUAAAGCUCUGUCUUCAGGGACGAUAAUGACGGUACCUGAGGAGGAAGCCACGGCUAACUACGUGCCAGCCGCCGCAGUAAAAC
rnacentral:rRNA from 1 species